GUUCGACAAGUCGGGUGUUAAACCCCCAGGCUCAACCUGGGGCCGCCACCCGAAACUGUCGUGACUAGAGUUUGGUAGGGGAUCACGGAAUUCCUGGUGUAGCGGUGGAAUGCGCAGAUAUCAGGAGGAACACCAGUAGCGAAGGCGGUGAUCUGGGCCAAUACUGACGCUGAGGAGCGAAAGCGUGAGGAGCGAACAGGAUUAGAUACCCUGGUAGUCCACGCCGUAAACGGUGGGCACUAGGUGUGGGGACUUUUCAACGGUUUCCGCGCCGCAGCUAACGCAUUAAGUGCCCCGCCUGGGGAGUACGGUCGCAAGACUAAAACUCAAAGAAAUUGACGGGGGCCCGCACAAGCAGCGGAGCAUGUGGCUUAAUUCGAUGCAACGCGAAAAACCUUACCUAGAUUUGACAUGCUGGGAAAAGCCACAGAGAUGUGGUGUCCUUCGGGGCCCAGCACAGGUGGUGCAUGGCUGUCGUCAGCUCGUGUCGUGAGAUGUUGGGUUAAGUCCCGCAACGAGCGCAACCCUUGUUCUAUGUUGCCAGCACGUAAUGGUGGGGACUCGUAGAAGACUGCCGGGGUCAACUCGGAGGAAGGUGGGGACGACGUCAAGUCAUCAUGCCCCUUACGUCUAGGGCUGCACACAUGCUACAAUGGGCGGUACAGAGGGCUGCUAAGCCGCGAGGUGGAGCCAAUCCCUAAAACCGCUCUCAGUUCAGAUUGCAGGCUGCAACUCGCCUGCAUGAAGUUGGAGUUGCUAGUAAUCCCGGAUCAGCACUGCCGGGUGAUACGUUC
rnacentral:rRNA from 1 species